rnacentral:rRNA from 1 species
AGAACGAACGCUGGCGGCAGGCUUAACACAUGCAAGUCGAACGCCCCGCAAGGGGAGUGGCAGACGGGUGAGUAACGCGUGGGAAUCUACCCAGUUCUACGGAAUAACACAGGGAAACUUGUGCUAAUACCGUAUACGCCCUACGGGGGAAAGAUUUAUCGGGAUUGGAUGAGCCCGCGUAAGAUUAGCUAGUUGGUGGGGUAAUGGCCUACCAAGGCGACGAUCUUUAGCUGGUCUGAGAGGAUGAUCAGCCACACUGGGACUGAGACACGGCCCCAGACUCCUACGGGAGGCAGCAGUGGGGAAUAUUGGACAAUGGGCGCAAGCCUGAUCCAGCCAUGCCGCGUGAGUGAUGAAGGCCUUAGGGUUGUAAAGCUCUUUCAGUGGGGAAGAUAAUGACGGUACCCACAGAAGAAGCCCCGGCUAACUUCGCGCCAGCAGCCG